UCAUGGGGACUUUUUUGGGACACCGUACCAGGCAUGACUUCCAGGUUUACCAUGUGGCCUGUGAAUUUCCUCCCUGUCCCGUUAUUG
rnacentral:sRNA from 14 species